rnacentral:rRNA from 1 species
GAUGAACGCUGGCGGCGUGCUUAACACAUGCAAGUCGAACGGUGAAGGCGGAGCUUGCUCUGCUGGAUCAGUGGCGAACGGGUGAGUAACACGUGAGCAACCUGCUCUUGACUCUGGGAUAAGCGCUGGAAACGGCGCCUACUACUGGAUACGAGCUGCGAAGGCAUCUUCAGCAGCUGGACAUAAUUUCGGUCAGGGAUGAGCUCGCGGCCUACCAGCUUGUUGGUGGGGUAAUGGCUCACCAAGGCGUAGACUGGUACCCGGCCUGGGAGGGUGACCGGCCACAAGGGUACUACGACACGGAGCAGACUGCUACGGGAGGCAGUAGUGGGAAAUAUUGCACAGUGGGCGAAAGCCUGAUGCAGCAACGCCGCGUGUGGGACGACGGCCUUCGGGUUGUAAACCUCUUUUAGCAGGGAAGAAGCGAAAGUGACGGUACCUGAAGAAAAAGCACCGGCUAACUACGUG